CUACGGGUGGCAGCAGUGGGGAAUAUUGCACAAUGGAGGAAACUCUGAUGCAGCAACGCCGCGUGGAGGAUGACACUUUUCGGAGCGUAAACUCCUUUUAUAUAGGAAGAAGAUGACGGUACUAUAUGAACAAGCGCCGGCUAACUCCGUGCCAGCAGCCGCGGUAAUACGGAGGGCGCAAGCGUACUCGGAAUCACUGGGCGUAAAGAGCGUGUAGGCGGAUUAAAAAGUCAGAAGUGAAAUCCUAUAGCUUAACUAUAGAACUGCUUCUGAAACUCUUAAUCUAGAAUAUGGGAGAGGUAGAUGGAAUUUCUGGUGUAGGGGUAAAAUCCGUAGAGAUCAGAAGGAAUACCGAUUGCGAAGGCGAUCUACUAGAACAUUAUUGACGCUGAGACGCGAAAGCGUGGGGAGCAAACAGGAUUAGAUACCCUAGUAGUC
rnacentral:rRNA from 1 species